rnacentral:tRNA from 1 species
GGGUCUGUGGUUUAGUGGUAUAAUACUCCCUUAGCAUGGGAGUGGUCCGGGGUUCGGCAAGUUCUCCACAGUUCGAAAACAGUCCUCUGCAUGAUUCUAACAAUAUAAUAGAUUCCCCGCGGAUCCA